AAUAAUGUGUUGCUGUGUUUAUAUAUUACUCCAAACAUGCCCCACUUUCCCAAAAAAUGUGAAUUUUCCAUGAAAUUUGAGACUUUAUUUAUGAUUUUCGCCUUGGCGGCAUCCUUUACCAGUCUUAAUAUUUUAACCACUACUUCGUACAUUAAAAACCAACAAAAAGUGCAAAAAUCAUCGCUGGUGAGCAAUGCCGCCAUGUUCAAAAACGAAAAAAACGUCCGUCUCAGAGACACUUUUUUAUCCGAAAUUACACAAGCCUCGAUUUCGGUAAAAUGACGUUGAAGUUGACGUCACUUAAUUAGAUAUUUGUUUUCAUUAAUUUGUUUUUCAAGCAACAGCCAUUAGAGCUAGUGUUAAAAUCAAUAAUAUCGGACGAAGAUUUUUAAGUGUUAACGUUUCAACAUUUAGUGAAAUAUCACAAACCUAAUGAGUGAAUUAGCGAAUUGUUUCCCUUUGAAAUCAACACGCCAUUAUCGGUGGAUACAUGUCUGAAACUGGGUCAGAGAAUACAUGCAGUUAUUGCUCUGAAUAUACGCGGAUAUUUAAAGUGCAUGGCGGAUUUAAUAAUUGUUAUGGAUAACCUCCAGCAGUAAGAAAUAUAAAGGCUCACUGCAGUUUUGAGUGCUCAACAAGUAUUGACCCCAUACUAUGCUCAGCAAGUAGGGCCCUUGUAUUUCUGUGAAUCCUCAUGCAGUACAGUACUGCUGUUGGAAGAGGAGCAAACAGUGUGGUAUCUAUGGUUCACCAUCACUUCAAGCAUCAUGGCUAUGGAGAAAAGAAUGUUUCAUUACAUAUGGACAAUUAUAGUGGACAAAAUUAUAAGAAAAGUGUUGUAAUAAGCUAUGGAAUGUGGCUUGUUAUGAUGGGUCUACAUGAUGACUUGGAGUACAACCUGAUGGAGGCCCGGCAUACAGAAUUCAGUCCUGAACAUGUUUAGAAUGUCUUCUGCAUGACCUGGUAUAGAUAGUAUUCUUGAAGGAUUAUAACUUCAACACAGAGACGGAGAUUAAUAUUUUUAGGCAGGGGGUUGGCAUGACAGGCAAAUUCGCCAACCGUAUUACCAUUCCUGAGCUGGAUGCCAGUCGACAGUGGUACCUGUAUAAUGAAAUAGUGCCCCUUUGCAGCAACAGCAAUGUAUGCUCAAAACCAGCAGUGUCAAAGCCAUUAAAAUUGAUAAUUCAAGUCAUUUAAAACGAAGAAUGAAUGGAAACAAAGUGUUUAACAUUUAAAGUAAUACAGAGAAAGAGCUCUGAAAUUUUGAAUAAUUUGAAAGUGUUUUUGAUUUUUUGAAGAUGUACUAGACCCAAAUUCCAUAUAUUUGAAAAAGAACAAAUGAUACAUAUAGUUUAUGUAAACAUUAAAUUAACAACUUUAUGGUGUCAACAGUACUAUGCAUUUGUUAAAUAUUGACUCACUAUAUACAUG